AGGGCUGGAAGUGGGUGGAUGGAAGAAAAUGCUGCCCUUCCUGCUAUCUCUAAGGAACGGAGAUAAUCCGAUGGGGAAGAACCUGGCGGGUCGAGUUUUAAACUUUUCUUGUUGUAGUUACUGAGAUUCCAGAUCAGAAACGAAACUAACCCACGCGAACCCCCUUUUUAAGGAGAAACAAUUGCCUCGGUGUCACAGGCACACGGGCAUGUACAAGCCCGGCGGCGCGUGGUGUAGAAAAUGGCUAGCUUUAAGCCAUGCAAAUAAAGGAAAACGUCAGCUCACCCUUCUGCCCUUUUAUCCUGGGACUGCUGGGUGUUCCCUUAGACGGGGAAUGUAGAACUUCAAAAGCACUUCAGAAAGAUUUGGAAGAGACUCCUGAAAACGGUGACCGAGCUUUGAAUUGUUAAGUGGUGGUGUUGUCAGCCAUGUGGCUGCUGUUGCUUUUAGCGAUGAAAAUCACACCACACAAGCUUCUCGGGCAAGUAAAAUUGAAUCUCUGAAGCAAGAAAAAUGUAUUUCCCCGUUUAAAGACCUUAAGGCUGCUGUUUCAAUGCACACACUGAAAAGGGUGGAGGAAGGAGGGACCUCACAAUUGAGUUCCACAAACCACAUGAGAAUAAUUACUGUAGAAUGGAACCAAUUGUAGUGGCUGAGCUCUCAAUUAAGAAUUAACUAACGUUUAUCCUUGACAGAUAUCAUGCGGUAUAAUCCCCUUGGCUGACAGAAGAAAAAGAUUCUCAGAAAAUGGUUCUUUCAAGGCAGAUGCUGCUUACAGGCAGACCUGAAUGGUGAAAAGCAGCUUUAUUUGUAUGAGAUAUAGGUAGCAUAUAACCCACCAUCUUCUAAAAAUAUAGUGAAUUAAUAACUUUCUCUUUUUUUUCUUCUUUUUUUAAACAGGUCACUCUGCCACCCAGGCUGGAGUGCAGUGGCAUGAUCUGGCUCACUGCA
rnacentral:lncRNA from 1 species